AGAUUGAACGCUGGCGGAAUGCUUUACACAUGCAAGUCGAGCGGCAGCGCGGGGGCAACCCUGGCGGCGAGCGGCGAACGGGUGAGUAACACAUCGGAACAUGUCCAGUUGUGGGGGAUAGCCCGGCGAAAGCCGGAUUAAUACCGCAUGAGCUCGAGAGAGGAAAGCGGGGGACCAAAGGCCUCGCGCGACUGGGUUGGCCGAUGUCCGAUUAGCUAGUUGGUGGGUAAAGGCCUACCAAGGCGAUGAUCGGUAGCUGGUCUGAGAGGAUGAUCAGCCACACUGGGACUGAGACACGGCCCAGACUCCUACGGGAGGCAGCAGUGGGAAUUUGGACAAUGGGGCAACCCUGAUCCAGCCAUCCGCGUGAGUGAAGAAGGCCUUCGGUAGUAAAGUCUCUUUGUCCGGAG
rnacentral:rRNA from 1 species